rnacentral:lncRNA from 1 species
GGAUUAUUUUAUCUCUGGAUUUAGAUGCUCUGAACCAAUUUUGGUUUAAUUAAAUAAUUGAAUUGAACUUUAUUAUUACAUUUAUUUGAGAUACACCUGUUAUUAUAUUUAAGAAGAUGAAUUUUGGCUUCGUGUUAUCGUGGGUCCAUCCCUCGGUAGCAUGGCCGUGUUAUGUCUCGGGUUUGGGGCGUGACACAACCUCUGUCUCUGGCCCUCCCAUGC